GUUGACGCAUCAGGUUCAGGUACAGUCGCACAGAGAGGUUGUGGUUGUUAUCGUCCCCCCAUUCCGCAAUCGGUGCCAUAGGAUUUACUACGUUUAUACUGGUUUACAACCAGUAGAAUAAACUGAUUGAUUGUGAGGAUGGAGAGAAAAUCUUUUGGCUUCACACAGCUGAGGUUCAUGACCAAGAAACCUUUAUUAGCAGAAGGAAAUUGUGAGACUACUCACAUUUUUACGUCAAUCCUUUCUUUUGUAAGCCACCACAGCACACUGCAACUUCUUGGCAAAGUUUCUUCCAUAGCACACUGAGCUCACCUACCAACCUUCCUAUCGAUUUGUUCACCUGCUUAUAAGAAAUUCGAAGAAUAUCCUUUCACAUCGAGUAUCAAAUCAACAAACUGGCGGGGUGAUGACACAAGAUCGCCUAUUACACCUGCGGCCAGUCCUCGUGUGACAUCGCAUCCGGCUUCUUUAGAAACGAGUGGUGAAGUGGACUUCUUAUCCAUCGACCACAUAUAACCGCCGGUCUUCCAAGUUUCUUCCAACGUCCAUUUAGUUCACCCGCUUCAAAAUUUUCUUUUACGCCUUCAAAUGAAUUAAAUGAGUUUAUGUUUACGUAGCAGUGAUGUUGCUGUCCAAUAUGGCAUGUUGUUGCAGCCUAUAGACUGGUGAAAGAUUU